rnacentral:rRNA from 1 species
UACGAAGGGGGCAAGCGUUGUUCGGAAUUACUGGGCGUAAAGGGCGCGUAGGCGGCUUAUCAAGUCAGGCGUGAAAUUCCCGGGCUCAACCUGGGGGCUGCGCUUGAUACUGAUGAGCUUGAAUGCGGGAGAGGAUAGUGGAAUUCCCAGUGUAGAGGUGAAAUUCGUAGAUAUUGGGAAGAACAUCGGUGGCGAAGGCGGGUCUCUGGGCCGAUACUGACGCUGAGGAGCGAAAGCGUGGGGAGCGAACAGG